rnacentral:tmRNA from 1 species
GGGGGUGUACUGGUUUCGACAGGAGCAGGUGUAUCAUAAAUAGCGAGCCGGGGUUCCAUUUGCCCGUAAUACGGUGGAUCUUAAACACAAACGCAAAAGAAAAUUUUGCUUUAGCUGCAUAGCUAACGUCUGACAUUGCUUUUCCUGCAGGCAGUGUUAAGGCGUCAAAUCGCAGGAUACUUUGGCAGUAUGGUUCGGUGCUGUCAGGGGAAUGCUACGGACUGGAACGGUCUAGUUUGUUUAUGUACGAAACCCGUUUGAGAUAAUAAAACAUAAACUGCGCUCGGAGAAGUUUAUGGGGCAAUGCUUUUGGACAGGAGUUCGAUUCUCCUCACCUCCACCA